UACGUAGGGGGCAAGCGUUGUCCGGAUUUACUGGGCGUAAAGCGCGUGUAGGCGGUUAGAUUAGUCUGCUGUGAAAGCUCGCGGCUCAACUGCGAGAGGGCGGUGGAAACUGUCUGACUAGAGGACGGUAGAGGGGGGUGGAAUUCCCGGUGUAGUGGUGAAAUGCGUAGAGAUCGGGAGGAACACCAGCGGCGAAGGCGGCCCCCUGGGCCGCUCCUGACGCUGAGACGCGAAGGCCAGGGUAGCGAACGGG
rnacentral:rRNA from 1 species